GCAGUUUUGUUUUCCGUAUAUAUAUAUACUUGACGUUUCCCAGAAAUUGAAUUGAAAUGAAAAUAUUGUUUAAAAUGAAAUGCAUAUGAGUUAUGUGGAAAAACGGGAAGUGAAAAUACCAUGCAUAGAAUUGAUAUGAAAAGUAUAUAGAAAUGUGAGUUGAAAUGCCAUGCAUGAAUUGAUAUAUGAUGCAUAUGUAUGAAUUGGUGCGGUGGACGCACAUGUAAGAAUUAAUAUAUGAUGCAUAUGUAUGAAUUGGUGCGGUGGACGCACAUGUAAGAAUUGAUUUAUGAUGCAUAUGUAUGAAAUGGUGCGGUGGACGCACAGGUGAGUAUCAGGUGAUUAUUUAAAUACUGUUAUGAUGAUGUUGAUAUAUAUUGAGCUCAAAUCCUGCACCAUGGUUUAGUGCUUAUAGUAUUCACCGCAUCGCACGCUCGCCUUGGAUCCAAGUAGAUGCUAGUCGUACAGUCCACGCGGAGUGGGUACGACAGACCAGUCGCGAGAGUGUUAGUGAGAUUCCGACUGGUGGGUGACCUUAGAUUAUGUGCACAGAUGAUUUAUGAGAAGCACUAGAGCGUAACUUGUGUGCAGAAGGCCGGACGGGUCACAGAGGUGACUCCGGUAGAGUGAUAAUGAUAGAUUUUGAGCUCUAGGUUCAACCGUACAGGGCUAUUAGAGGGCCUACGGUUGAUUACUUUCUUGCACCUGAUAUGAUUAUGUUGAUGCAUUCAUACCUUAUUACUGUUGAGAUGAUGUGUGCAUGGCAUAAUUAAUAUGAGAAAUGUUGAGAUGAACAUGGCAUGGCAUGAGAUUGAUAAAGAGAUAAUGUUGAGAUAGUAAAAAUGAAGUUUUGAGAAUAUAUAUGUAUAUUUAUAUUUUACAUUUCUGGGAAAGUAUACACAGGUUUUACGGAGAGGGGUUACAACGUUUUGAGAAAUGUUUGGAUUUGGAAAAGAAUUGUUUUACUGACCCACUCAAUUUUGGUUUUGCGCCCCUCCAGGUUCAGGAAUCACAAAGGUGUGGUGACUACGAGGAAUUCGACGGUGUUCUGACAGAUUGGACAAAAUUAGGACUCACCUUCGGGUGUAUCAACUUAUAAAUUGUAUCUUAAAGCUUCCGUACUGUGCAAAUGGUUACGUCACUCUCACGUGACGGCCAGCAUGCCCUCCUUCGGGACGGGGUGUGUCAGUUGGUAUCAAGAGCAUGGUUGCAAUCUUGGACAUCUUGAGAAGUUUUUAGUGAAUUCUGUCAGAACUACACCGCCUCGUAGCAAACCACGUAGUUAGAGGAACUUAGUCUCCCUGAUUUAGCGGUUUGGGGGAAACUAUUAUUAUGGUGAUUCAGUAUAUUAUCAAAUUAACAUUUUAAGACGGGUUAUGAGUUGAAUUUGAAUCACCUUAUGAAAUGAUGAACCUGAGGGAGCGGAGUGACGGUUUAACCAAUUGGAAAAGAUGUUUCAGAUUAUGCAAGUCAAAGGAAAUUUCCUUCUGACAGGUGGGUCGAGACGACUACCUGGUUUUGGGUAUGAAUUUGCAUCCUGGUGGAAACAGGAAUGUUAAUUGUUGUCACCAGAGGAAUCAGCCGAUUUAAAAUUUUUUUAAGGAAAAGUUUAUCCCUCCGGCAUUUAUUGAUGGUAGUAAACAAGAGUUUACAAAUAUGAGACAAGGAAGGUGAUGAUCGAGGGAUAUUAUAGAAAGUUUUCAGACUUGCCUCGUUCCAUCCAGAUAUUGUUGUUAAUUUGGUGGAGGUGUUAUGUUGUUUUAAGCUGGGUGGCAAAAAGGGAAGUGGUAUUUUGGGUGACCACUAUCCAUUAUACUUCUUACCAGGAAUAUACGAGAUGCUGUUGAGUCUUGAGGACUCUGAGAACAUGAGCAACGAGAAUAAAGAAGAAUAAGAAAAGAAUGGGAAUUAAAAGAAGACAAUAAAGUUAAUGAUUCGUCAUAUCAAGAAUAUCGAAGGAUUCAGAGCUUCGAAAGAAGUGAAGCUAGAGUUAAUUCUUCCAGCUGAGGUUUUAAUGUCGCUGGUCAGAGUAAAAGUGAUGGAUAUACUGGUAAUCCCAGAUAUUUGAGACAAGGUGUCUCGAGUAAAGGAAAUGUACUUUGGGCAGCAGGUACAAAAUUAACACUUUGGGAAGUGUGAAAUUAAUGAAUGUGUUUAUGUGAACAGAGGGGACACAGAAUUGUGAAUCGUCCCUAGAAUCAGUUGUACCCAACAGUUUUCUAUGACAUCGUAGUAUCGAUUCAGCAGGUUUAUGGACUUAGUAGUUUGGUCAGAUUGACCGUGGGUACAGAGAGAUUUGAUGAGUUAUAUGUUCAGCCGUACAGACCACGAGAGGUGGAUUUGACUGACACAUGAGAAAUUGGUGAGUUAUAGGCUCGGCCGUACCGACCACGCGGAGUGGAUCUGGCCGACGCAUUAUUGAGGUAAUUGUUGAAUCAGCCGUACAAGUCAUUCUAGUUGACUCCGGCUGAUAUAUAUAUAUUUUAUUAUGAUUGAUAUUACCUAGAGAGUAGUAAAUAAAUGUAGUUGAGACGAGUGUAUGUAUUUUGCAUUGAGUGAUAAAAUAGUAAUGUUAUAUCUUUGAGAGUGGUUGCCUACUUAUCGAGACAACGAUGAUUUAUCAGUAUUGCGGGCUGCAGACCGUAAUAUUAAUAACUCCUUCGUGGAUUCGUUAAGCAAGCAAACCGGUAGGUUAUUUUUAUGUUAGUGUUGUACUUAUUUAGAAUGUUCAGUAUUAAUAAAGUAUGUAUUGUGUCGGUUAAAUUAUUUCCAUUAGAGUGGUUGGUUAUAAUUGUGACUAAAUGGAUUGUUACGGGAAACCAGUCACUUUCCAUCGAUCUGGAUGACCAGAGAUUACUUUUGUAAGUAUGCAAAGUGAAGUGAGUUCAGCCAUUAUUUAUGCUGUGAAAGCAAAGAGAUUGUUUUGAAAGGCUGUCAAAAAUACUUAGCUCAUGUGGUGCUAAAUGAUGUUGUUUGGAGUAGUGUGAAUAAUGUCGAAAGGGUUAGACUUUUCUUGAUGUCUUCCCUGAAAGUAUACCUGGAUUGCCUUCAGGCAGAGAUAUGAGGUUCACUAUUGAUUUGUUGCCAGGUAUAAAUUUAUAUUGGAGAUUGGUUCAUGAUGAGUUAAGGGAAUUGGAAAUUCAGUUGAAAGAAUUGGUUGAUAAAAGUUUCAUUCAACCUAGUACAACACUUUUGAGGAGCCCCAGUUUGUUGGUGAGGAAGAAAAUGGAUCUUGAGACUGUUCAUUGAUUAUAGACAAUGGAGUCGGGUAACGAUUGAGAACCGUUAUCCAUGGUGAUGUACUGAUGUUUAUUUAACCAGCUCAGAAGUAAUUGCGAAGAUUCAAAGAUUGAAUUGAGAUCUGGUUACUACCAAUUGAAUAUUAUAAGUGACGUUGAUCAUAAGAUAGUUUCUGGACUUGUUAUGGUCCUUAUAAAGUUUGGUGAUGCUAUGUGGAUACUCAUGCGGUUUUAUGAGUUGAUGGAUGAAGUAUUCCAAUAAUGCCUUGAUAAUUGAUAUCAUUUUCAUUGAAGAUAUUCUGGCAUAUUCUGAGCCAGAGCAGAGCAUGUAAACGUAUUAAGUCGGUAGAACAAAGAUUGGAAGAAUGUCGAUUGUAUGCUAAGUUUAGCAAAUGCGAAUGUUGGAUGAAUCAAGCAGCAUUUCUGGGAUAUGUUAUAUAUUCUUAAGGUAUUCAAGUGAAUCCUUAAAAGGUAACAGAAAUUAAAAUUUGGAACAACCACGAGUCGUAAUUGAGAUUUGGAAUUUCUUAGCUUACCAGGCUAUCUUGGAUGGUUGUGAAAGAUUUUUCAGUCAUUGCUUUGUCAUUGACGAGACUGUUGAGAAAAGAGGUUAUGUAUGAGUGGGAAGGAAAUUGUGAGCAAAGGAUUCAACAACUGAAGUAUUUCCUCACUCAUGCACGUAUUUUAGUAAUCCUAGAAGAUAGUGGUAAUCAUAAAUUUUUAGUGAUGUUUCUUGAAUGGUAUUGGAGGCAUGUUGAUGCAAAUGUUAGGGUGAUUGUAUAUGUUUCACGACAAAUGGAACCUCAUGAGAUGAAUUACCCUACUGGUGAUUUGGAAGUCACGAUUAUCAUUCUUGCUGUGAAGUUAUGAAGGCAUUAUAUUUGGUAAGAAUGCAAGAUUUUUACGAAUCCAAAAAGUCUUCAAUAUCCAUUACUUGGAAGGAUUUUGAUAUGAGGCAGCGAAAGUGAAUUGUAUUGCUUAAUGAACACGAUUGUACGAUCAGGGUGAUCGUAAAGCUUGUUCUAGCUGAAGCACUUGGUGAGAAGACUACAGUAAGAUUAAUGUCUGGCACGUUUGCCAAGAGUAUCAUCUUGUGGAUUGAAAACCAACGGAAGAAAAAUUAAGAAUGGAAGAUCGAGAAGAAGUUAUACUUGUUAAGUAACAAGUUAGUACAUUUACUCCAGUGUUGAGUAACAACCUUUCCCAGACAGUUCAACAUUACUUAUUUGUUUUAUGGAAAAGAGAAUUGGUUUACGGAACUGCUAAGUUUCUUAAGUAUGUUGGUUGCGCAGUUUCCGAAGUGAAGCCAUAAGGUUCAUGAAGUGUGUCAUGUGUGUAUUUUGUUGACUUGUGAAUGGAAUAUUUCUGGGUAGAGAAAGAUUCGAUCGAGAAAGAGUUUUAGUAGACCCUGAGACUAUGGAUGAGUCUCCUCAAAGUAUUCAGGUGAUUAAGUUAACCUAAAAGUAACCAGGAAUGACAAAAGACAUCAACAGAUGGAUAUGCCACUAAUCGAGUAUAUAAGGUAAAUGGUUUUAUAUUUUAGAAGUGUUCACCUUAGAAAAGUAGAAUUUGGAUUGAAAAAAGAAGGUCCUGAGAGUUAAGAUAGAGUAAAUGGUAAAAGUUUUGUGAAGGAAUCAUUCAGUGGAAGAAAAUUACGUGGGAGAAAAAGAAUCGGAUGAAAAAAAAAAAAAAAAACUUACCGAGGUUGGUAUAAGUGUUGAUGAAUUGGUUGGUUGCUGGAAUUUCGGGGACGAAAUUCUAUAAGGAGGGAAGAUUGUCACAGCCCGUUCCAAAUUAUUAUAUUCGUGGCUGUGAAUGGACGAAAUUGCCCUUAAGAAAUACUAAAUUGUGAAGCUCAGGUUGCUAAUUAUCUAGGUUCCUAAGUUUGAAAAUAAAAUGGAAUUUAAUAAGGAUGGAACUUAGAUUUUUAGGUUAAAAUGUUAAAGUUUGGUGUUUGGAGAUUGGAAUAAGGACCACGUGGGAUCCCCACAUCCCUCAAAACCCUCCUCAUUUCCCGUUCACUGUCUUUCUCUCUCCUCCUUCACGAUUUCUCACUCUCUCUGUCUCUCUCCUUCGAACUCACACGGACCACCACCAAAACCACCCUAAAUCUAUACCAACGUCAAGUUUGAGACCACCAUGGGAAUCCUGAGGACUUCACGAUCACGUUGGUAUCCAUUUCAGGUAAGUUUUACUUCGGAAAACCUAGAUUCUAAACUCCCCAUGAAAGUGUACUGUUCAUGAGCUUUGAAUUGGUUGAUUUUUAGGACAAUCCAAGCUCAUAGUGAGCUUAGUGAGGUCCCAAGGAAGCUCGGAGUGCUUCGUUGGAAGUUUUUGGACGUAAGAACACGGAGAUCGACAAGUUCAAAGUUUGGCCGGAGCUUUAGAGGCUUUUUUCCGGCGAAUCCCCGGCGAGUUAGGAGUCGAGGUAGGUAUCAAUCUCUUCGUCUCGUCAAGUACUACAACUUUCCUUUUUGUUUCACUCAAUUUCGUUGAGUAUUGAAGAAGUUAUACUCAUUUGAAAAAUACCCAGUUUCCGGCGACCUCCGAGGCUUUCGAGGCAGUUUCCGGCCAAACCACGGCGAACUAGGUGUUGUGCAAGGUACCAUUCUCUUUGUCUCUUCAAGGGCUACAACUUUCGUUUUUGAAUCACUUGAUUUCGUUGAGAAAUGACAAAAAGUUAUGGCAAUUUGAAAAACUGCCGGAAAACGGCCGCCGGAAAAACCAGUCCGGCGACCCAAGGAAGAAGAAGGUGCUACAGUAAAAAAUAAAAAAUAAAAAUAAAAUUAUUUUAAAAAUAUGUCGACGUCCGUGACGUCGAGUAGAUCACUGUGGUAUAUUCAUAUACCUAAAUUGAACACCGUAUGAGAAAGUUAUUGAGGAUUGUUGGUUAGGUGUUCGAAUAACGUUUUAUAGUUUUCACAUUAGGUGAAAAUGUGAAUUGAUGAUCCGACCGUUGGAUCAUCACCAAACUUUGAUACGUUGUAAUACGUAAUAUUUGAAGAUUAUUGGAACUUACGGAUUGGGAAUCCGAGUUACGGAUCUUCCGGAAUUGGAAUUGUAAGUCCAUAAUAUAAAAUGUUAACCGUCACUUAGUUUUGGAAAUUGACGGAGAUCCGACCGUUGGAUGGUAAUGAAAUUUUAGGAUGUUGUCCUAGAGGUAUAUUGUAGACCUCUGGAAGUUAUGGAUUUAAAAUCUGAGUGGCAGAUCUUCCGGAUCGAUCAACGUAGUGACGUAUUUUAUAUAAGUUAUGUAUUCUAUCGAUGUGAAUUCUGAGGUUGGAUUUGAUUACUGUUCUAGGCGGCGAUCGUCAUGACGCCUUGGCGUAUUGUGCUAGGGAGUUGUAGGGCGAACUCCAGGUGAGUGGGCAGUUUUGUUUUCCGUAUAUAUAUAUACUUGACGUUUCCCAGAAAUUGAAUUGAAAUGAAAAUAUGUUUAAAAUGAAAUGCAUAUGAGUUAUGUGGAAAAACGGGAAGUGAAAUACCAUGCAUAGAAUUGAUAUGAAAAGUAUAUAGAAAUGUGAGUUGAAAUGCCAUGCAUGAAUUGAUAUAUGAUGCAUAUGUAUGAAUUGGUGCGGUGGACGCACAUGUAAGAAUUAAUAUAUGAUGCAUAUGUAUGAAUUGGUGCGGUGGACGCACAUGUAAGAAUUGAUUUAUGAUGCAUAUGUAUGAAAUGGUGCGGUGGACGCACAGGUGAGUAUCAGGUGAUUAUUUAAAUACUGUUAUGAUGAUGUUGAUAUAUAUUGAGCUCAAAUCCUGCACCAUGGUUUAGUGCUUAUAGUAUUCACCGCAUCGCACGCUCGCCUUGGAUCCAAGUAGAUGCUAGUCGUACAGUCCACGCGGAGUGGGUACGACAGACCAGUCGCGAGAGUGUUAGUGAGAUUCCGACUGGUGGGUGACCUUAGAUUAUGUGCACAGAUGAUUUAUGAGAAGCACUAGAGCGUAACUUGUGUGCAGAAGGCCGGACGGGUCACAGAGGUGACUCCGGUAGAGUGAUAAUGAUAGAUUUUGAGCUCUAGGUUCAACCGUACAGGGCUAUUAGAGGGCCUACGGUUGAUUACUUUCUUGCACCUGAUAUGAUUAUGUUGAUGCAUUCAUACCUUAUUACUGUUGAGAUGAUGUGGCAUGGCAUAAUUAAUAUGAGAAAUGUUGAGAUGACAUGGCAUGGCAUGAUUGAUAAAAAG
rnacentral:lncRNA from 1 species